ACAGCAGUAGCCGCGGUAAUACGUAUGUCACAAGCGUUAUCCGGAUUUAUUGGGCGUAAAGCGCGUCUAGGUGGUUAUGUAAGUCUGAUGUGAAAAUGCAGGGCUCAACUCUGUAUUGCGUUGGAAACUGUGUAACUAGAGUACUGGAGAGGUAAGCGGAACUACAAGUGUAGAGGUGAAAUUCGUAGAUAUUUGUAGGAAUGCCGAUGGGGAAGCCAGCUUACUGGACGGAUACUGACGCUGAGGCGCGGAAGCGUGGGUAGCAAACAGGAUUAGAGACCCCGGUAGUCCCUGUCUCUUAUACA
rnacentral:rRNA from 1 species